rnacentral:lncRNA from 1 species
CGCUGACAGAAAGGAAAACUAGGCAGACAACAGAGAAAUGGAGCCAAAACAAUGUUCUGAUCAAGGUGCCUGUGGAGGCCCAGAGCAAGAUAUUGGAUCUCCUGAAGCUGGAGUUACUGGCAGUUGUAAGCCCUGGUACAUGGAUGCUAGGAACCAAACUCUGAUCCCAGCAGAAGUGGAGGAUCCUGUUGCAGCGUGAUUCUUCCUAGCCAGUUGAGCGCGUGCAAGAAGUGGUGCCGAAACCCGGGACCCAGGACAAGGGACAAGAAACAUCCUCAGGCACGAGCGAAGACCCCCUGCUACAGGGAGGAUUCAGAACUGCAUCACGGGGAAG